ACGAUCCAUGUUCGAUUUAAUCCUUAACAUAUAUUUGUUUGACGCAAGCGAGUUUACCUACGAGGUCGGUUUUCGCCCGUUCCUAAUAUAUUUUUGUGCCUGUCGAUCACAAUCGGCUGCCGGGACGAUUUCCUUCAUUCCGUGUCUUAAAUUUUGAUUCCACGUUAAACUUUUGAUUAUGGUCGUAUUGUCCCCACGUCUAGAGGGACAGAUAUCAUUUUGACUUGGCUUGAUGCAAACUAGUUUCGCCGAUCCCGUAAACGUAUUGAUACAAAUUGGCAAAAGGAUUGGCUAGAUCCAUGUACUGCAGCAUGUGUAUUUUUACCACAAAUCUCAAAUGUGAGAAUAAAAUGUUUUCAACUGACACAUUGCAAAUGUGAGAUACAGCAAACAACUGAAUAUAGAGAGAUAAUAAGCACAAUUAAUGAUCAUAAAAUAUCACAUCGAGAGACGUCUACAUGUCUUAUAUUAUUCUGUGAUACAGUAUUUAAUGACAUUGCAGCAGAUUGGGCUUCAGUCAUACAACAUAGCAAAGAAAGUGAAAUAGCUUCUGUAUGGGAUGUUACGUUUGACAAUUUUCACACAACACAUACAUUUGAACAAAAAAACAAAAUCGCCAUUACAUACAGAAUUCUUUAGAAAGUUCUCAUACUCACCUAUACCACGUUGUACUGCUAUCCUGAUCCGGUGCUAUACGAACGUGGUCUGUGGUUUUGGACGAAAAAUGCAAUACAAUGGAGCAAAUAAAAAAAAGAUUAAAGUUAUUUAAGGCACAAGUUAAAGAAAUAUUCCAUAGCAUUUAUGUACAUGCUCAGAUUGGAGUAUGAAAAUAGUGAAUCUGAGAAUGAAGAUAGUGAAUCUGAGAGUAAAUAUAUCAAGUAUAAAAUUCCAUUUGAAUUUAAUGAAUACCGGAUUCCAGAUGGUAUAAGAUUUAGUACAGAACCACAAAUAUUCAGAAUGUUAUUCCCUACAAUACUCUUAGUAGGUUGUCUUGGUUGAGGUGAAUUUGAUAAACGAAGAAAGUAAUUUUUUUUUCUUUUCUUCAUAGGUAUAGUCGAAUUUUAUUUCUAGACCGUAUUAAGUAUCAUCUUGCGAUGUAUAUAGUUUUCUUUGUUUCAGAAAAAAGGAAAAAAGAAACUUGGUAUCAUGAAUCCGGUACUGUCUUUUUGAUAAUUACGUAUGGUUGAAAAAAGAGACACUUAAGUGAUGUGUGCUACGAAUAUAUUUCGUUAUAUAAUAAUAAUUUUAGUUCGUUUAUUUUUUGCUCUUUUUUUUAUUAACGAGACAAUUUUUCACCAGCACACAACAUAAUUUCUUUUGAUCUAUAUGUAACACGUAUAUAAUUAACACAUGUAAU